rnacentral:rRNA from 1 species
AGGACGAACGCUGGCGGCGUGCUUAACACAUGCAAGUCGAACGGAAAGGCCCUUCGGGGUACUCGAGCGGCGAACGGGUGAGUAACACGUGAGCAACCUGCCCCUGGCUCUGGGAUAGCCUCCGGAAACGGGGAUUAAUACCGGAUAUUCACUGUCUCCUGCAUGGGGGGUGGUGGAAAGUUUUUCGGCUAGGGUGGGCUCGCGGCCUAUCAGCUUGGUUGGGGGGGUGACGGCCCACCAAGGCGACGACGGGUAGCC